CAGUGCAGUUCCUCCAUUCACUUGUUGGACAAACCUAUUGGUCUGUGUUUUUUCUGGCAUGGCAUGAGGAAUUCAAAGGAAAGAAGAAAAAAAAAGACCCAGUGCCUUCUCUGAAAGAUCUUCCACAUCAGAAAUAAACAAAGGCAAAAAAUCAGAAAGCCUUAUACAGCUAUAAUCACAACUUGAGAGGUUGGAGCAAUAUGUUGCCUGGUUCACACUGGCAAGCUCUUUGCCUUAACAGACUUCAUUCUCAGGAAUAUUUUGAAGAUUGUAGAAAGGUUGUAGGCCAUCUCUACAGGGUUGAUUCCCUCUUGACUAUAAUGAAGAUUUAGACAUGACCAGAGACCCCAAGAGAAGCCAGGCCCAACCUCCACAGCACAGCGCUAUCUUCUACCAGUGAAUCUCUUUCAAAGCUUUUGGGGCAAGCUGGCCAAGGGGCCUGAGGAGAGCAGUGCUAGGGUAGUGUCUGGGGGUCAUGACUUGUGCCAGCAAGGGAAGAUUGUCGAGUCUAUUCUCCACUUCCAAGCAGCCUCCUUGGGUGAGGGAAAGUGAAGGUAAGGCAGACAUAAAUGAGAAGGGGGAGAG